rnacentral:tRNA from 1 species
CGGCCUGUUGGAGCAGGGCGAGGAGUUCGAACCGUUCCUCCCGGCUGCGGUCGGCGCGGGAGAGCAGUCCUUCCCGUUCGCCUUGGGGGCGGCUGG